CCUACGGGGGGCAGCAGUGGGGAAUAUUGCACAAUGGGCGCAAGCCUGAUGCAGCCAUGCCGCGUGUGUGAAGAAGGCCUUCGGGUUGUAAAGCACUUUCAGCGGGGAGGAAGGCGGUGAGGUUAAUAACCUCAUCGAUUGACGUUACCUGCAGAAGAAGCACCGGCUAACUCCGUGCCAGCAGCCGCGGUAAUACGGAGGGUGCAAGCGUUAAUCGGAAUUACUGGGCGUAAAGCGCACGCAGGCGGUCUGUCAAGUCGGAUGUGAAAUCCCCGGGCUCAACCUGGGAACUGCAUUCGAAACUGGCAGGCUAGAGUCUUGUAGAGGGGGGUAGAAUUCCAGGUGUAGCGGUGAAAUGCGUAGAGAUCUGGAGGAAUACCGGUGGCGAAGGCGGCCCCCUGGACAAAGACUGACGCUCAGGUGCGAAAGCGUGGGGAGCAAACAGGAUUAGAUACCCUAGUAGUC
rnacentral:rRNA from 1 species